rnacentral:misc_RNA from 1 species
CCAAUAGCGUAUAUUAAAGUUGUUGCAGUUAAAAAGCUCGUAGUUGAAUUUCGGGGUUAGUAGGUUGGUCAUGCCUCUGGUAUGUACUGGUCUCACUGAUUCCUCCUUCCUGAUGAGCCGUAAUGCCAUUAAUUUGGUGUUGCGGGGAAUUUGGACUGUUACUUUGAAAAAAUUAGAGUGUUUAAAGCAAGCUAACGCUUGAAUACAUUAGCAUGGAAUAAUGAAAUAGGACGUUCGAUCCUAUUUUGUUGGUUUCUAGGAUUGACGUAAUGAUUAAUAGGGAUAGUUGGGGGCAUUAGUAUUCAAUUGUCAGAGGUGAAAUUCUUGGAUUUAUUGAAGACUAACUACUGCGAAAGCAUUUGCCAAGGAUGUUUUCAUUAAUCAAGAACGAAAGUUAGGGGAUCGAAGACGAUCAGAUACCGUCGUAGUCUUAACCAUAAACUAUGCCGACUAGGGAUCCGAUGAUGUUAAUUUUUUAAUGACUCAUUCGGCGCCUUACG